rnacentral:hammerhead_ribozyme from 1 species
AUUAACCUGACCAGUCCCAGAUAGGACGAAAUGCGCGUCCUGGAU